AAGGUGGCAUUACUCCCUCCUAUAGACAAGCACUGAAUACUUCUUGCAUCCAGCCAUUCAUGUCCUGCCUAGCUAUUUGAAGGAGCAAGGAAGGGCAUGGAUCCAACUCACAAUUGGCAAAAUUCAAAUUACAGAAAACGCUAUCAAGUGAAAUUAUUUGCCAAAAAAUCUGCAAAUUCAUCCAGCAUGCCUGCAGUCACUUUGUCCUGUCCUUUCCCUAAAAGGUUGUGUGUAACUCAGUACAGGGCCACCAAGCAGGAAUCUGCAGAUGAAGUAAGUGCAGAGAAGAACUGUCACAUUGCAAUUCUUAUUACCACUGUGUAGGCUCAAAUAUGAACUCUUAUUAGUGUUUGGUCUUAUCUACUUCUCACAUUCCACCUUCACUGCUUUAGAUCUCUUUUCAGUCACUUCCUUUAUCUCAGCUGUCCAGCAACCUAAGGAACUGCUUGACUUUAUGAUUGGGGAAAAGCCUCAUGGGAGUAAUCUCAUCAGGGUCUCUGACCACCUCUCCAUUCCACAAAUUGAUUAGGCUGAGAUGUAACUGUCUGCGAAAUUGUGGGGUACAUACUUAAAUGCCCUCUGGAUGCCUUCUGCAUCCAGUAGGCGCAUGGGGUGGAUGGCUCUAACUAAUCACCCUCCCUUGUGGAGGUCCAGAGGGUCCCAAAAGACAGAUGCUUUCCAUCUUCAGAUCACAUCUCAUCUGCUUCAAAAUAAAGACCAGAUCUAGUUUGUGUCCUUUCACAAAAGUUAGGGCUACAAUUACAUGUGACAAGUCCAUGUUUGCCAUGGAGGCCAUGAGCACAAGAACUACACCAGACCCCACUCCUAAGGCAUGAAGGUUGAAGUCAUCCAAGACUAAAAACUUGGGAACUCCAAUACCAACUACAAGAUGCCAAGAUGAGAUCCUAGAAUUUGUGAGGCCCACCAUAGAGCAGAUAGGCAACCAGUACACUAGCAAUAGCCAUGGAGAAUACACAUGCUACAGUGGACUUCUGGAAUCAUGCAACUGUAAUUGGUCCAUGCACUGAGCAACAGUAAUGCUACCUAGUGCUGCCAAAGCUAGAGUGGAAUAGGCAAAUUGGCACUCCCCCAGGCAUCAUAAAAAAUGAUGUGUGCAUUACAGAAACAGCUGUAGGAACUGCGUUUUCAGGACACUGGUUCUGGGAACAUUGACCAGUCAAGCAUUCAUCAUACAGACUCAACAAGGUUACAUAAGUAGAUGUACUGCAGAGAAU